rnacentral:rRNA from 1 species
GAUGAACGCUGGCGGCGUGACUAGUACAUGAAAGUCGAGCGAAGCGGGGACGGGUGAGUAACACGUGGAUAACCUCCUAUCAGACUGGGAUAACUUCGGGAAACAGGAGCUAAACCGGAUACUUAUAGAUGGAUCCGCGAUGCAUUAGCUAGUUGGUAAGGUAACGGCUUACAAAGGCAACGAUGCAUAGCCGACCGGAGGGGGUGAUAGGUCACACUGGAGCUGAGAUACGGUCCAGACUCCGACGGUGGGCAGCAGUAGUGAAGCGGCCGCCAUGUGCGAAAGCGUGACGGAGCAACGUCGCGUGAGUGUUGAUGGUCUUCGGAUCGGAACACUCGGUUAUUAGUGAAGCGGUAACUAAUCAGAAUGCCACGGCUAACUACGUGCCAGACGCAGCGGUAAUUC